rnacentral:rRNA from 1 species
CCUACGGGAGGCAGCAGUGGGGAAUAUUGCACAAUGGGGGAAACCCUGAUGCAGCAACGCCGCGUGGGUGAAGAAGUAUUUCGGUAUGUAAAGCCCUAUCAGCAGGGAAGAAGCUGACGGUACCUGACCAAGAAGCCCCGGCUAACUACGUGCCAGCAGCCGCGGUAAUACGUAGGGGGCAAGCGUUAUCCGGAUUUACUGGGUGUAAAGGGAGCGUAGACGGCAGUGCAAGUCUGGAGUGAAAGCCCGGGGCCCAACCCCGGAACUGCUCUGGAAACUGUGGGGCUGGAGUGCUGGAGGGGCAGGCGGAAUUCCUAGUGUAGCGGUGAAAUGCGUAGAUAUUAGGAGGAACACCGGUGGCGAAGGCGGCUUACUGGACAGUAACUGACGUUGAGGCUCGAAAGCGUGGGGAGCAAACAGGAUUAGAUACCCGGGUAGUC